rnacentral:rRNA from 1 species
CCAGGAGGCCAUAGCACGUUGAAAGCACCGGUUCUCGUCCGAUCACCGAAGUUAAGCACCAUGGAGCCUAGUGAGUACUUAGAUGGGUGACCGCUUGGGAAACCUAGGUGCUGUAAGCG